AGCUCCCAGCCCCAGGCAGGGGGUCCCCCUGGGAGGGCUGUUGCUGUUUCCUAGGCUUGUACCAGCUGCCCAUCCAUCCUGACAGGGAGCAACACUAUCCCCCACCUCCAUUAGACCUCGUGCAACCACCUAUCCAGCUUAGUCACCACCACCCCAGUCAUCCAUGCGGCAAACCCAUCUCCGGGACAGGGAGAGAAGAGGCACAAGAAGCCGCCCAGGGCAGAAAACACCGUACAGGCUGCGUGAGUGGAAAUUCAGAAGUGUCCUGAGCGUUCUCAAGAGGAAUUAGCUGUGUGUAGUGCAAAUGUUAUAUCUGGUGCAGACUGAUCCCAGUUGUUAUGUUUGCCAUUGACGCAUGCCCUAAUGACUGCCUUCAAUGUGUGUUUUACACGUACAGGAGAAUUCGUUUGGAAUGAUAAGCUGUGAUUAACUGCAUGGAGGAUCUCACCAUAUGUCCCAUCCUGUAUGGACUGAGAGGACAUCAGCUAUCUUCAUGGAACUCUCUUCAUCUGGCUCAGAUCCUGUAGAGGUAUCUAGCUAAAGAUAAGGAGUGUGACCUAAAACCCAUUGGGCAUCUUUCCAUUGACUUCAGGGAGCUUUGGAUCAGGUCCAGGGAGCAAUAAGGGGAGGGCACACAAGCCUUAUUGAAAAUCCAAAAGAGUAAAUACAACCUGCGACAGCACCCUCCACACACUGAAAUUCUAUGUACAGGGGGAUCCCCAGGGCAGCUCUGACAGCAAGCCAUCUUCUUCAAGGGACAGACCUGCCUAUUGCAUCUGACCUUUCCACACUUAAAGCAUUGAGACUAUCUCCCCUGCUGAUCCAUCCUUCAGCAAUCCUUCAUUUCUGCUUCUCCAU